rnacentral:piRNA from 1 species
UCAAAGGCCCCUUUGAACAGCAUUGA